rnacentral:tRNA from 1 species
GGCCAGGUAGCUCAGUCGGUAGAGCAGGUGACUGAAAAUCCCCGUGUCGGCGGUUCGAUUCCGUCCCUGGCCACCA